CAGAUUCAACUAGGCAGACGAGGGACUGCCACUGCCCUCUCUGCAGUGAGUCCCCAACGAACAUGAUCCUCUUCCCUUGCAGCUUCAGCAGUGCAGUUUUCGGAUCAAACCUGCACGAGCAAACAACGAGUCUGGCAUUCCUGACCUAGGCAAUAUGCAGUCAUCAGGCCUCCAUUCCCAUUUCUGGUAAUCAAGAUCGCGCUUCCCAUUCUUGACACACGAGACCUGCCUGUCCAGAUACGGGCAUGAUGUGUCCGUAUACAGAGGCUUAUUAGUACGGUUGAACACCCAUUUCCCUUGAUUGAGAGAGCACUCUUUCGGGUCAAACUCAAACCGGUCAUCUGUGGCACGUCUCAAUGCUGCAUCAACUUUUUUUUUCUCUACCAUAGAUGAAAAAAAGAAAGGGUCAAGAUCAUCAUAAACUCCAUGACUGAGACGACGUGAGACUAAUUACCUGUGGCAGCUUUCUUGGCAGCAUACCUUCUGGCACAGGGCUUGAGCCUAAAAAUAGAGGUUGGAGAGAAGAAGGUGAUGCUCUCUGUGUAGAGCAGCACGAGGAAAGCCAACGCGCAGAUUGCGAUGGCAAGAAUCGACAGAGGUAGCUUUCCUCUUGGGGGCUUUGGCAUCCCCAUUGGAGGAAAGCCAGAUAAGGGAAACUGGAGGUUGAUGAGAAAAAUGGAGGUAAGUACUAAUGAAUGCAGAAUUAUUAUUACAAACCUUAAGCAAAACAAAGUGUGGUGGAGUUUAUAUCAUGGGGUUUUGAGUAGGAGUGAAGCCAAAGUAAUGUUUGAUUUA